CCUACGGGUGGCUGCAGUGAGGAAUAUUGGUCAAUGGCCGUAAGUCUGAACCAGCCAAGUAGCGUGCGGGAAGACUGCCCUAUGGGUUGUCAACCUCUUUUAUGCGGGGGUAAAGGUGUCCACGUGUGGUUGUUUGCAAGUACCGCAUGAAUAAGGACCGGCUAAUUCCGUGCCAGCAGCCGCGGUAAUACGGAAGGUCCAUGCGUUAUCCGGAUUUAUUUGGUUUAAAGGGAGCGUAGGCCGGUCUUUAAGCGUGCCGGGAAAUUUUGUGGCUUAAACAUGUGAGUGCGGCGCGAACUGGAGACCUUGGAUGCGCGGAAGGCAAGCGGAAUUCGGGGUGUAGCGGUGGA
rnacentral:rRNA from 1 species